GAAGCAGGCCAAGGCAGCCGCUGGCCGGUGCGUAAUGCCCGGCGGGAGGAAGGUCCGGACUCCAUAGAGCAGGGUGACGGUUAACGGCCGUCCGCUGAAAGCUUUCCGCGCAAGCGGGGGUAUAAGGCGAGGAAUAGGGCCACAGAGACGAGCGUAUUAAGUUACGGUGAAACGCGGUAACCUCCACCUGGAGCAAUUCCAAAUAGGCACGCGUUGAUGUUGCUCGCGGAGCGUGCGGGUAGGAAGCUUGAGCGCCGGAGUAAUUCGGCGCCUAGAGGAAUGGCUGUCAUAGCGUACGUCCGCAAGGGCGUGCGCCGUAUACAGAAUCCGGCCUACCGGCCUGCUUUACAC
rnacentral:RNase_P_RNA from 1 species